AAGCGCCCACCCGCCUCUAGUGUUGUUUGAAGUUGUCACCAGCAUGAGCCAGACGACAGGUGUGUUGUUGUUGGCACUGACUUUCACAACAGUGGUUACAGUCGCUGAUCUGGGGUACGGAGAUGGUAUCGUCGUCAGCCUGGCAGGUUGGCCUCGUCAACCUCAGCGGCUCCGGCAUAGGAGAGUUUGUCAAGGGAGAUCAUUCAAGGAAGUGUAGAUGUGUGUGUAAGUGUGAACGUGCCUGGGCAUCACCGACUGUAAGUGAGAAUUUUUGGAACUACUGAAGUAUCUUUUGCUUAUAUAGAUUGAACGAAGGAGAGGUUGAAAGUCGUCUAUGACAUCGAUGUGCGAUUGUUGGUUUACAGUCAUUUACAUGCAGUGAUUUCAGUUAAACCUUAAAAUAAACACAAGCACCCGCAAUAUAUAGUAGUGCAAGCCCAGGUAUACAUCUCUGUAGUCUGUUGUCACAGGACACGUGUGUAGAACACGUGUGGGAUGCAGUGUGUUGUCUGUGUGUCGUGUGUCACCAACAGCGUCCACGGUCCCGCAGGAAGACGAUGUUCAAGUCGCGGUCUGUGGGUUCUUUCUACAACUCGGUGCUGCGGUGAGGAUGAGCGUCCAUCUCGUAUAGGGUCUUUAGACUAGACAAAUAUACUCUGUUGACACGAGUAAUAGUCACUUUAAUCAGGUUGUAAACAUUGAACUUUACUCACUUCUUUGUCCAGAGAAGUAUUGCUACUUGUCCCGCCAGUAAUAACACCAAUGUGGGAGCCCAGUACCUCAGCAGGUUUGCUCCAUGUAAGUUCAUCAAAGGUGUAGGUUGGCUUUGGUGGGGGGUACAUUUGUCACAGAGAUAGGAAAUGGAGGAGGAGGAGGUUGGAAAGGCUUCAAUUUUGUCCCAAAACGGUGGUUGAUGUGUAUUGAAUGUUGUGAAUUAAUCGUGGAAUUUUUGUUUGAGAGUUCAUUAGUAAGUGAUGUUUCCAUUAUUAAAAGACUUGUCAUUUUGUCCGGAUUUAUUUUAUUUCUUCGUCUUAUUAUCCGCUCUGUGUUCGUCGGCUGUGGACUGGAUCUUACCUGGCAUCAGGAAGGGCAGGGCAGGAGUGGAGACUGCUGUGGUUUAUUUUGGGGCGACUUCGUGCGGGACCAUGGUGUUAAUAGACAAAGAACAGUUGACAGAUGAAGACACUGUGUUCGGACCGUAUAUUAAGGAAUUUAGAUUUUC